GACCGGGUACGCAAACUGGCAUAGCGGCGAGGUCGAGAGCCUCGUGCCUGUGGGUUCGACUCCCACCUCGGUCA
rnacentral:tRNA from 1 species